AUACAGAGGGUGCGAUCGUUAAUCGGAAUUACUGGGCGUAAAGCGUGCGUAGGUGGUCUGUUAAGUCAGGUGUGAAAGCCCUGGGCUCAACCUAGGAACUGCAUUUGAUACUGGCAGACUAGCGUGUGGUAGAGGGUAGUGGAAUUCCCGGUGUAGCGGUGAAAUGCGUAGAUAUCGGGAGGAACAUCAGUGGCGAAGGCGGCUACCUGGACCAACACUGACACUGAGGUACGAAAGCGUGGGGAGCAAACAGGAUUAGAAACCCGAGUAGUCC
rnacentral:rRNA from 1 species